AUGGUGCUGGGUGGUUCGUGCUCGGCCAUGUUCCAAAGAUCCCCCUCGUAAGUUUUUUUUCCGGGAUUCGGUCCCUCGUCGUGAAGUGCAGACCCUCUCGCAAGGGGAGCCAGAAGCGAUGAUAUGAAGCCCACCUACCAUAGCGUAGGGGGUCGGAAUCAGCCCCACGAUCACCACAGCACCGGC
rnacentral:other from 1 species